GGUGUGGUUCUCUCUCUCUCUCUCCCUCCACACCCCUCUCCACCCUCUUCACACGCCGGAGACAUCCUCAUGUUGCUUCGCCCAGAGUAAGAAAGGUGUUUUCAACACGCACACAGACACGCGCGCGCACACACACACCCACCCCGCAUUUCUCAAAGAGGAGGAGGAGGAGGAGAGGACCUCCGGCACAACAAGGGAUCCCGCUUCGCCUCCCCUCUUUUUUUUUUUUUCCAGGCUGGCUUAGGCUUAACGCCGCCGUCAGCGGCCUGAGAGGGCAGAGAAAGCGGGAGGCGGAUGCGCCCGGCGAGCGGAGGGGGAUGGAGCGGCUGGCGGAGCGGCGCGCGAGCUGAGCCAGCCGGGCGCGAGAGGCGAGGCGAGGCGAGGGAGCACGCGGACAGGGGCCACCUCGCUUGCCCACCCUGCGCGCCAUGGCCAGGAGGGAAGGCUCGGCGGGGCGAGGAUUGCAGAGCCUGCGUGUGACAUCGUCAUGAACGAAAGAAGAAAGUAAUACAGCAUUGGAUGCGCCUGCUUGCUGCCCAUAGCAAAAAGAGAGGGGAGAAAAUGAUGCAUUGUGGGGAAUCACUUCAAAAGGGUGAAUGAAAUGAGCUCUUUCGAUUCUAGUAUUUGAAAAGCUAAGUAAUUCUCUGGAAGAAUUGUUCUAAAUGAGCCUGGCCAAGAUACUGGAUCUGUGUGAAGAGGACUAAGGAUACAAUAGGAUGUCAACUGAGACAGAACUUCAAGUGGCUGUUAAAACCAGCACAAAGAAAGAGUCUAAAAAGAAAGGUCAGGAUCGUAGUGAAGCAACUUUAAUAAAGAGGUUUAAAGGCGAUGGUGUUCGAUACAAAGCAAAACUCAUUGGUAUAGACGAAGUCUCCGCAGCGCGAGGUGACAAGUUAUGUCAAGAUUCCAUGAUGAAAUUAAAGGGAAUUGUUGCUGCAUCUCGUUCAAAAGGCGAACAUAAACAGAAAAUAUUUCUAACCAUCUCCUUUGGAGGAAUCAAAAUCUUCGAUGAAAAGACAGGACUACUACAGCAUCAUCAUGCAGUACAUGAAAUUUCAUACAUCGCCAAGGAUAUCACAGACCACCGGGCCUUUGGAUAUGUAUGUGGAAAGGAAGGAAAUCAUAGAUUUGUGGCAAUAAAAACAGCCCAAGCAGCAGAACCUGUGAUUUUGGAUUUACGAGACCUCUUCCAACUUAUUUAUGAGUUGAAACAAAGAGAAGAACUGGAAAAGAAGGCACAAAAAGAUAAACAAUGUGAACAAGCAGUAUAUCAGACAAUUUUGGAAGAAGAUGUAGAGGAUCCUGUUUAUCAGUACAUUGUGUUUGAGGCUGGACAUGAGCCAAUUCGUGAGCCUGAAACAGAAGAAAACAUUUAUCAGGUUCCUACUAGCCAAAAGAAAGAAGGUGUUUAUGAUGUGCCAAAAAGUCAACCUGUAAGUCUGGAGGAUGGAAACCUGUUGUUGGACAUAGAGGAAAAUCUUGGUAGAAUAACUCAGGCUGUUCCCCAACUAGAGCUGUUUGGGGAUAUGUCCACUCCUCCUGAUAUAACCUCUCCCCCUACCCCUGCAACUCCAGGUGAUGCCUUUAUCCCAUCUUCAUCCCAGUCACUUCCUGCUGGUACAGAGGUAUUUAGUUCUGUACCUUACAGCAGUGCUGCUGUACCCUCAGGUUAUGUUGCAAUGGGAGCUGUCCUGCCUUCCUUCUGGGGACAGCAACCACUUGUUCAACAACAACUGGCCAUGGGUGCUCAGCCUCCAGUUGCUCAGGUGAUGCAAGGAGGACAGUCAAUUGCAUGGGGACAACCUGGGAUGUUUCCUCCCACCCAGCAACCAUGGCCAUCUGUAGCUGGUCAGUUUCAGCCCGCUGCCUUCAUGCCAACACAAACUGUUUUGCCUUUACAAGCAGCCAUGUUUCAAGGUACCAUUGUUCCCACUGCUACUGUUCCACCAACCAGUGAUUCCACCAGAUCAAGUCCACAGACAGAUAGCCCAAGGCAGCAAGCCGGAAAAGAAAUGUUUAAAGAUUUCCAGAUGGUUCAGGCACCUCCAAUACCAUCACGAAAACCAGAUCAGCCUUCCCUCAGUUGUACCUCAGAGGCCUUCUCCAGUUACUUUAACAAAGUUGGAAUGGCACAGGAAGCAGAUGAUUGUGAUGACUUUGAUAUCUCUCAGUUAAAUCUGACUCCUGUGACAUCUACAACACCAUCAACAAAUUCACCCCCAACUCCUGCUCCCAGACAGAGUUCUCCAUCUAAAUCCUCAGCAUCUCAUACCAGUGACGCUGCUGCAGAUGACCUCUUUGAAGAGGGCUUUGAAAGCCCAAGCAAAAGUGAAGAGCAAGAAGCACCUGAUGGAUCUCAGGCCUCAUCCAACAGUGAUCCAUUUGGUGAAUCUAUUGGUGAUACUGUAAGUCCACAGGGCGAUAGCUAGAUAGCGCAGGUUGGGUGUCUUAUCUGAAUCUGCAUUUACUGUAACACAGAUCUACUGAACAAAUUGGAAAGAGAACCACUCUAUGCCCAGAUCAACAGACCUAAGACCUAAGAAAUAGCAUUGACCCACACUCGUGGCACUUCAAGUCGCAAAUGAAAACUCCAAUCUUGACAGGCCUUUGGCUCCUACUACAUUUUUUAAUAUUAUUUAGUUAUCUCAGCUAAUCAAGGAUAAUCACAUCAGUGGAUUAAUUCCCCUUAUUUUUCAAAAUCCUACUUUCCUGGGGGAGGGGGGGGAAUGUCAUCUGCAUUCCUACAACUUCGAACUAUCGAAAUAUCUUUUCUUUUUGUUACCUUUUGUUGUUUCUAGGACUCCAUAUAAUGAAAGUAGGUGAACCAAAUCUAUUAGAGGACAACUCAUUGUUUUAUAAUACAGAAACACAGAAAAAGCAAACACAUCCUGGUCACCAGUCAUUUGAGCUACACAACUGCACAUUUGAAGAUAUAAUAACUUUUGUACGACCAUCACAAACUGAUCCUUCUGUAUUUUCACCCCGAAUACCAGCCUAUAACAGCAUAUACGAAGGAAGUAUUCAAGUGUUUCAUUCCCCCCCCCCACUCCAAUUACUUAAAAACUGGUGACAGACACUAGCAUCAGAAUGCCUCCUGUGAAAAUAAAUCUUAACUUGAAGUCAUGGAUUCCCAUUCCACCAGUCAUCAGUUUUGAUUGAAAAUGUUGCCAAAUGGACCUUUUAAUUUUCAGUACAUCAAAUGAGAUGAAAUGCUGCUUUUUCUGUUUUGAAUACUACUGCUAUGAGUAGAGAAGGACAUCGUAUCUUUUUGAUGGAAAAACAAACUGUGUUAUUUCCUAGGGAACUCUUGAAACAAAGAUCAGUAAAGGAUAUUUUUUAUUUCUUUGAUAUCUUGCUGCUGUAAUGCUAUGCAGACAAGUGUUUUUUUUCUUCUCUCUGUGCCAUUUUUGAAGAGAAAUAAAACUGUUUGCCAAAUACUUCUACAUCUGGAUUUGAUUGGGUUGGACUUUAAUAACAGGAUGGAGAUGGUAUGAAUUUUGAAAUAAUGAACUUAUUCUGCGAUCAAAUGGUUCAUCUUUAUCACUUUUUGUACAUCGGAAAAAUUCAAAUGGGAUUUUUAUUUUAUAACUUGAAAUUUAAAAAUAAAAAUCUUACUGUUAAAACUCUUUCAAUGUUUAAGGGGAAAUGGCUUUAAAGAGUCUGAAUGAAAAUUGCCAGGUUUUCUUUUGUUUUGUAAAUAUAAAUGUUAGGAGUUUUUUUCACCAUGACAUCACACUGUAGGGAAGGUAGUAAAUGAUGAUAUUUCGGAAGCGUGGAAACCCCCAUUUUGUGGUUCUUGUAUCACGUUUGUUUGGUUUUGUUUUUCACAUGCUUAUAGUUAGUGGGACAAAGCUGAAGUGCGUUUCCCAACUACAAUUUUGUUGCCUGAAACUAGCUAGGUUGAUGGAGAACUCAUAAUCAUACAAUCUUGCUUUUAUAAUACAACUGUUAUUACAUACUUUACAUUUUUUGGAGAAAAAUCUCAUUUCAUACCCAUUUCCUAAUUUAAUAAGAGCUGUUUACACACCACAGAAGCAAGUUUUUUAAAACUGUUUUUUUUAAUAUAUUUAUGUAAGAAAAGUGCAGUGUUUGGUUUCUAUUCUUCGCACAUGAUUUGCAUAAAGAAUCUAUAUAUUUUUGCCCUACAGAGAAUUGUUAUACAGGUCAAAUAUGUUUUCCUGAUGUUCCUAUGCAGAUUACAAUAUAUAGAACUUUAGUGGUUUAGCACUAAAAAAAGAAGAGUUAAAUAGUUCAAAUGAUGACUUAUUUCAAGGAUUAUGCAGAUUUUGUUUUUAAAAUCAAAAUGCCAAUAUGCUUGUGUUUUCUCCUUUGAUUAUACAGGUCUGGAGUUAUAUUUCAUGCAUUUGAAUUAUUAAAGCAUUUUACAAGAGUAGAUGAAAACUGGCGAUUUGGUGAUAUUGAAACUGAACUUGAUAUUUCCAUUUGGUUUUUUUCAACAUAGGUACUGAAAUAAAAUGUGUGUUAAACAGUCAAUGAACUAUAGGCUUUAAUAUCAGUGCAGAUCUAAUGUACUUUUCCAGUCAUUUCCUCUCUGUACUUUUUUGGUGUGCAACCUUGUUUCAAUAAAAGACUCCAUGUGGAUUUUACAGAACAUAUGAUUGGUGAUGUGAAAGAGAAACAAAAGAGAAAUUGAGUCCAAUUAAAGCAGAAAGUAGUUGUGCCCAAAAUAAAAAUUAACAUUUUUGUUAAAGUCAAUUUGUUUUUCUUCAUUUCUCCUUUCCCCAGCCUGUUUUUAUCCAACCCACAAAUCAAUUUAUUUUAACUUUUACUUGAUCAUCACUAUAUAUCUGUGAAAGGUGAAGAUGGCCUGGGUCUGCACAAGCCUUUUCCCAGCCUAAAAUAUUCAUCCAUGUUGUAGUCGUUGUCAGCAUCUCUGUCGCAAAUGUGGAUCAAAAGAAAAAUGCAAAAAGUGAUCUCUUUUGUAACAUAUAAAAUGUUAAGUUCGUUUGUUUCCUACGAAAAAAGAUGACAUCAUACAAAAGGACAUUUCAACCCUGAAACAUUGAUGUAUAGUCAAUAGUGAAAUCUUUCUGAACUAAGUUUUUAUUUAAACACAAAAAAAUAAAAUAUUCACAGAUAUUGUAGCGUGGUGCAGACUAACAGUCAGUUCAUGGUUGUUAUUGGGUUCCAAAGUACUUACCAAGAUGGGAAAGUUCAUGUAUAUGAAUUACAACUGGGAUUUAGAGAUCAUAGGGAAAUUUGUUCUAUACAAACCAAAAGUCUUUUGAAAUAAAACAACCCAUGAUUAACUUAUCCAUCAUUAGAUUAUUCCUUUCUACCAUAAUCUAGAAGAAAAACAAUACAGAAGCUGCACUAUACAAGUAUUGUAGAUAGGAAAUAUAUCUACAGGAAUCCAUUCAUCACUAGCACGAAGCUUGUCACUUUAAACUUUAAACCAGGGAGAAUCAUCCCAUCCUGUCCUGUUUCCAAUUGUUUCUUGUUUCUUACGUUAUUAAUGUACUUUGAUUCAUUGUUGUCAUUCAAAUGUCUGAUGAAAUUUAUAAUUGAAUAAUGUACUGGGCACCUUCUUUGCAAAGAUGUUUACUUUCUACUUUGAUUUGUUUGAUUUUUGUGUUCUCACGUGUUUAUUUUUUAAUAGAAGAAAGAUGAAAAUGACUGUUUUGCAGUACAUUUCUAGAUCUACUUUAACUUUACCUCAGAGGAAAACCAUUUGUUAACAUCUGUUGAACAUCUUCUUUCCCCUUAUGUAUAAUGCAUUCAUCAGAAGAAAUUUUUAGAGAUUUUCCAUUGAUUUCUGUAAGACACCAUGUAGUACUGUUAAAAAUAAAAAUGUUUGAAAUCACGUUUA